UAAGGAAUAUUGGUCAAUGGAGGCAACUCUGAACCAGCCAUGCCGCGUGCAGGAAGACGGCCCUCUGGGUUGUAAACUGCUUUUAUUCGGGAAUAAACCUAUCUACGUGUAGAUAGCUGAAUGUACCGAAGGAAUAAGGAUCGGCUAACUCCGUGCCAGCAGCCGCGGUAAUACGGAGGAUCCAAGCGUUAUCCGGAUUUAUUGGGUUUAAAGGGUGCGUAGGCGGCCUAUUAAGUCAGGGGUGAAAGACAGUAGCUCAACUAUCGCAGUGCCCUUGAUACUGAUGAGCUUGAAUGAACUAGAGGUAGGCGGAAUGUGACAAGUAGCGGUGAAAUGCAUAGAUAUGUCACAGAACACCGAUUGCGAAGGCAGCUUACUAUGGUUUUAUUGACGCUGAGGCACGAAAGCGUGGGGAUCAAACA
rnacentral:rRNA from 1 species